AGGGUCAUCUGGAUGGUUCUAGGGAUUGUCCACAAUCUACAUGAUUGAAUAGGCCGACGGUUUGAGGUCAAUGCAAAGCUAAGGCUUUGCUUUGGAUGUGUCGGUGCCUAUAUAGGUCAUUCGGUCUCGUUUCUUAUCGUUGGUUGGAUAUGAACCUUGGAGUUGGUAGUCAUUCGAGUUGGAGUUUGGGAAGCUGAUGGCAUGGGGUCAUUCAAUCUUGGCUUCUUGGCUCUCCAUGGUUGUCUUGAUGAAUCAUCAAUGAGUGCUCGAUCAUAACUUGAGGAGGAAAAGGUCGAAUCAAAAAGUGAAUAAUAUCCACAAUACUUGCCCUCCACUUUCGAGUUCGAAGUAGUUUUACUACAUUGAGCAAAGAAGGUAAUCGGUCAUAAGGUGAAAUAUCCAAA
rnacentral:lncRNA from 1 species